UGCUUCAGAGCAGGGUCAUGUCU
rnacentral:piRNA from 1 species